rnacentral:rRNA from 1 species
AACGAACGCUGGCGGCAGGCCUAACACAUGCAAGUCGAGCGCGCCCUUCGGGGUGAGCGGCGGACGGGUGAGUAACGCGUGGGAACGUGCCCUUUUCUACGGAAUAGCCUCGGGAAACUGAGAGUAAUACCGUAUACGCCCUUUGGGGGAAAGAUUUAUCGGAAAAGGAUCGGCCCGCGUUGGAUUAGGUAGUUGGUGGGGUAAUGGCCUACCAAGCCGACGAUCCAUAGCUGGUUUGAGAGGAUGAUCAGCCACACUGGGACUGAGACACGGCCCAGACUCCUACGGGAGGCAGCAGUGGGGAAUCUUAGACAAUGGGGGCAAACCUGAUAUAGCCAUGCCGCGUGAGUGAUGCAGGCCUUAGGGUUGUAAAGCUCUUUCAGCUGGGAAGAUAAUGACGGUAACAGCAGAAGAAGCCCCGGCUAACUCCGUG